rnacentral:rRNA from 1 species
UACAGAGGUCCCGAGCGUUGUUCGGAUUCAUUGGGCGUAAAGGGUGCGUAGGCGGCGGGGCAAGUCUGAUGUGAAAUCCUGGGGCUCAACCCUGGAACUGCAUUGGAUACUGCCUUGCUAGAGUACUGGAGAGGAAACUGGAAUUUACGGUGUAGCAGUGAAAUGCGUAGAGAUCGUAAGGAAGACCAGUGGCGAUGGCGAGUUUCUGGACAGUAACUGACGCUGAGGAGCGAAAGCGUGGGGAGCGAACAGG